rnacentral:rRNA from 1 species
AGAGUUUGAUCAUGGCUCAGGAUGAACGCUAGCGACAGGCCUAACACAUGCAAGUCGAGGGGCAUCGGGGCGAGGAGCAAUCCUUGCCGCCGGCGACCGGCGCACGGGUGAGUAACGCGUAUGCGACCUGCCCGUUGCAGGGGGAUAAUCGGGAGAAAUCCCGUCUAAUACCGCGUAACGCCGCGGGGCUGCAUGGCCCUGCGGCCAAAGGGAGCGAUUCCGGCAACGGAUGGGCAUGCGUGACAUUAGCUAGUUGGCGGGGCAACGGCCCACCAAGGCGACGAUGUCUAGGGGUUCUGAGAGGAAGGUCCCCCACACUGGUACUGAGACACGGACCAGACUCCUACGGGAGGCAGCAGUGAGGAAUAUUGGUCAAUGGGCGCGAGCCUGAACCAGCCAAGUCGCGUGAGGGAUGACGGCCCUACGGGUUGUAAACCUCUUUUGUCGGGGAGCAAAUUCCGCCACGUGUGGCGGAGUCGAGAGUACCCGAAGAAAAAGCAUCGGCUAACUCCGUGCCAGCAGCCGCGGUAAUACGGAGGAUGCGAGCGUUAUCCGGAUUUAUUGGGUUUAAAGGGUGCGUAGGCGGACUGUCAAGUCAGCGGUAAAAUACGGGGGCUCAACCUCCGCCCGCCGUUGAAACUGACGGUCUUGAGUGGGCGAGAAGUAUGCGGAAUGCGUGGUGUAGCGGUGAAAUGCAUAGAUAUCACGCAGAACUCCGAUUGCGAAGGCAGCAUACCGGCGCCCAACUGACGCUGAAGCACGAAAGCGUGGGUAUCGAGCAGGAUUAGAUACCCUGGUAGUCCACGCAGUAAACGAUGAAUACUAGCUGUCCGGGGCGAAUGAGCCCUGGGUGGCACAGCGAAAGCGUUAAGUAUUCCACCUGGGGAGUACGCCGGCAACGGUGAAACUCAAAGGAAUUGACGGGGGCCCGCACAAGCGGAGGAACAUGUGGUUUAAUUCGAUGAUACGCGAGGAACCUUACCCGGGCUCAAACGACACAGGAACGUACCUGAAAGGGUUCGGCUCUACGGAGCCUGUGUCGAGGUGCUGCAUGGUUGUCGUCAGCUCGUGCCGUGAGGUGUCGGCUUAAGUGCCAUAACGAGCGCAACCCCCAUCGACAGUUGCUAACAGGUUAGGCUGAGGACUCUGUCGAGACUGCCGGCGCAAGCUGCGAGGAAGGCGGGGAUGACGUCAAAUCAGCACGGCCCUUACGUCCGGGGCGACACACGUGUUACAAUGGCAGGUACAGCGGGAAGCCACCUGGCGGCAGGGAGCGGAACCCGAAAGCCUGUCUCAGUUCGGAUUGGAGUCUGCAACCCGACUCCAUGAAGCUGGAUUCGCUAGUAAUCGCGCAUCAGCCACGGCGCGGUGAAUACGUUCCCGGGCCUUGUACACACCGCCCGUCAAGCCAUGGAAGCCGGGGGUGCCUGAAGUGCGCUGCCGCGAGGAGCGCCCUAGGGUAAAACCGGUGACUGGGGCUAAGUCGUAACAAAGUAGC